GGGCCGGUAGUUCAGCGGUAGAAUGCCCGCUUUGCAAGCGGGAGGUCCCGGGUUCGAGUCCCGGCCGGUCCA
rnacentral:tRNA from 1 species